UACGAAGGGGGCUAGCGUUGUUCGGAAUCACUGGGCGUAAAGGGCGCGUAGGCGGCCGAUCAAGUCGGGGGUGAAAGCCUGUGGCUCAACCACAGAAUUGCCUUCGAUACUGGUUGGCUUGAGACCGGAAGAGGUAAGUGGAACUGCGAGUGUAGAGGUGAAAUUCGUAGAUAUUCGCAAGAACACCAGUGGCGAAGGCGGCUUACUGGUCCGGUACUGACGCUGAGGUGCGAAAGCGUGGGGAGCAAACCGG
rnacentral:rRNA from 1 species